GCAAGUCGAACGAUGAAGCUGGAGCUUGCUCCGGUGGAUUAGUGGCGAACGGGUGGGUAACACGUGAGCAAUCUGCCCUUGACUCUGGGAUAACUGCGGGAAACUGUAGCUAAUACCGGAUACGAGACUUGGAGGCAUCUCCAGGUCUGGAAAGAAUUUCGGUCAAGGAUGAGCUCGCGGCCUAUCAGCUAGUUGGUGAGGUAAUGGCUCACCAAGGCGACGACGGGUAGCCGGCCUGAGAGGGUGACCGGCCACACUGGGACUGAGACACGGCCCAGACUCCUACGGGAGGCAGCAGUGGGGAAUAUUGCACAAUGGGCGAAAGCCUGAUGCAGCAACGCCGCGUGAGGGAUGAAGGCCUUCGGGUUGUAAACCUCUUUUAGCAGGGAAGAAGCGAAAGUGACGGUACCUGCAGAAAAAGCACCGGCUAACUACGUGCCAGCAGCCGCGGUAAUACGUAGGGUGCAAGCGUUGUCCGGAAUUAUUGGGCGUAAAGAGCUCGUAGGCGGUUUGUCGCGUCUGCUGUGAAAAUCCGAGGCUCAACCUCGGACUUGCAGUGGGUACGGGCAGACUAGAGUGCAGUAGGGGAGAAGGGAAUUCCUGGUGUAGCGGUGGAAUGCGCAGAUAUCAGGAGGAACACCGAUGGCGAAGGCACUUCUCUGGGCUGUAACUGACGCUGAGGAGCGAAAGCGUGGGGAGCGAACAGGAUUAGAUACCCUGGUAGUCCACGCCGUANACGUUGGGCGCUAGAUGUGGGCCACAUUCCACGUGGUCCGUGUCGCAGCUAACGCAUUAAGCGCCCCGCCUGGGGAGUACGGCCGCAAGGCUAAAACUCAAAGGAAUUGACGGGGGCCCGCACAAGCGGCGGAGCAUGCGGAUUAAUUCGAUGCAACGCGA
rnacentral:rRNA from 1 species